rnacentral:rRNA from 1 species
GACAGAGGAUGCAAGCGUUAUCCGGAAUGAUUGGGCGUAAAGCGUCUGUAGGUGGCUCCUUAAGUCCGCUGUCAAAUCCCAGGGCUUAACCCUGGCCAGGCGGUGGAGACUACUAAGCUUGAGUACGGUAGGGGCAGAGGGAAUUUCCGGUGGAGCGGUGAAAUGCGCAGAUAUCAGGAGGAACACCGGUGGCGAAGGCGGCUCGCUGGGCUCUACCUGACGCUGAGGCGCGAAAGCGUGGGGAGCGAACCGG